UACGGAGGGGACUAGCGUUGUUCGGAAUUACUGGGCGUAAAGCGCACGUAGGCGGAUUUGUAAGUCAGGGGUGAAAUCCCGGGGCUCAACCUCGGAACUGCCUUUGAUACUGCAAAUCUCGAGUCCGGAAGAGGUGAGUGGAAUUCCUAGUGUAGAGGUGAAAUUCGUAGAUAUUAGGAAGAACACCAGUGGCGAAGGCGGCUCACUGGUCCGGUACUGACGCUGAGGCACGAAGGCCAGGGGAGCAAACGGG
rnacentral:rRNA from 1 species